AAAGACAUAGUUUAGUUAAAAUAUUAGAUUGUAAAUCUAAAGAGUUUAGUUUUUG
rnacentral:tRNA from 1 species